CCCAGUCCAGGCCCAAACCCUUUGACAAAAUUGCUUGACGUUAAAUAUCAAUUGAGGCCAAUAAGAUUUAAAAAGCUGAUUUGGGCCUCCACCCAAAUUAUCUAUGUAUAUUAUUAUUUGUACAUGAUGGGGACAAUGAUACGAUUGAGCGCCUACGAGGGUGAGAGAGUGGAGACGUACGUGAACAUUGAGUAUUGAGUAGCACAGGUGAAGGGAAAUUACAAAGAAAAAGAAAUCCACCGUUACAAAAAAGGAUGGCACGCAAAUGCAGUGCCUCGUAGGUGGCGGGCAUAUCGGGCAUCACGUGACCCCACCAAUUUAACGGAUAUGAUUAGACUUCUUACAUAAUUAGUG
rnacentral:lncRNA from 1 species